rnacentral:tRNA from 3 species
AGGAUUUUAAGUUAAUUAAACUGUAAGCCUUCAAAGCUUAAAAUGAGAGUAUUUUCAAAUCCUG